CUGCCCUGCGUAGCAGUGUCCUCUUUUUGGGGAUUCAGUUUAUGGUCACCCUACAUGAAACUCAAUUCUUUAUCAUUUCCUUGAAGUAAUAAUCAUCAUAUUAAUCAUUUUACAGACGCGGUAGUUCUUCUGUCUUAGCGUCUCGGUCUGAUUGUAUUUCCAUGAAGAAAUGAUCAUAAAUGUUCUUCCUUGAGCUGCGUCACCCCGCUGUAGUCUGUAAUGGACUGGCCUGAGGUCUCUCUACAAACAAGCGGCUGCUGGAAGAGAGUAGGUGAGUUGUGUUUAGUCUCUUUGCUAAAGAAAUGAGUCAAAGUUAAAAAGAUGUUUGGUGUCUAGUACUAUGUCUGUGACCCUAUAUGUCCUGUUGAUGAAGUUAGGUGCUGUUCUGAGCAUUAUUUGUGGCUAUAGAGUGGUGUU